rnacentral:rRNA from 1 species
GACGAACGCUGGCGGCGUGCUUAACACAUGCAAGUCGAACGGAAAGGCCCUGCUUUUGUGGGGUGCUCGAGUGGCGAACGGGUGAGUAACACGUGAGUAACCUGCCCUUGACUUUGGGAUAACUUCAGGAAACUGGGGCUAAUACCGGAUAGGAGCUCCUGCUGCAUGUUGGGGGUUGGAAAGUUUCGGCGGUUGGGGAUGGACUCGCGGCUUAUCAGCUUGUUGGUGGGGUAGUGGCUUACCAAGGCUUUGACGGGUAGCCGGCCUGAGAGGGUGACCGGCCACAUGGGGACUGAGAGACGGCCCAGACUCCUACGGGAGGCAGCAGGGGGGAAUAUGGCACAAUGGGCGGAAGCCUGAUGCAGCAACGCCGCGUGCGGGAUGACGGCCUUCGGGUUGUAAACCGCUUUCGACUGUGACGAAGCGUGAGUGACGGUAAUGGGUAAAGAAGCACCGGCUAACUACGUG